GUGUCUUUUCGGAAAGCUUGGUCUGGGAUUUUAGGGUCUAUUGACAGUGCCACUGCAGGAAAUAAAAAUCCCUAGAUUGACGUUUCAGGUGGCUUGCCAUCACUGGAUUCUGCCCCUUCGGGUCCAGGGCAUUCUUCAAUUAUUUCUCGAACUGUAGGUGCAUGUUUAGAACAAGUUUGAGGUUGAGGAUGUUGUGCAUGUGAUUCACUCGGAUUUGUCUCUUUUUUCUUUUCUUCCCUCAUUCUUUUUUUCUUUUGGACCUUCAUUUGAGUUGACAUGUCUAUUGAGGGCUCUAAUUCUUCUUUCCUGGAAAGAUGUCUCAACCUCUUGCAUUGAUCUAAUCUGUGACCAUGCUUUU
rnacentral:lncRNA from 1 species